rnacentral:rRNA from 1 species
CCGUGAUGAACUAACCGUCUGUCGCUGGGAAUAAGCUUAACUUGGGGGAAACUGCUACGAAAAUAAAACUUUAACUUAAUUAUGCCUUUCUUUAAUAAUAACAAUUAUUUUAGAAAAUUAAAUAAUUUAAUUUUUGGUUAGUUUUGAAUUACAUAUUCUUGUAUUUAGUUAUAAGAAGUAGUAAUUUUAUUUAAAAACAUUUAUGUUAAGAUAUUUAGUAUCUGUUAACCCAUUUAAGUAACAUCUCAAAAGUCAUAGCAAGGUAGAUUGUACUGGAA